rnacentral:sRNA from 1 species
AAAAGAGCAACGGCGAACAAGAUAC